GGGUUGGUGGCACAUGCCUGUAGUCCCAGCUACUUGGGAGGCUGAGGCAGGAGAAUCACUAGAACCCAGGAGGCAGAGGUUGCCAUGAGGCAAGAUCAUGCCACUGCACUCCAGCCUGGGUGACAAAGCAAGACUCUUGUCUCAAUAAAUAAAUAAAUAAAUAAAAUUUUAAAAAGAAAAAAUAAAUAAAAAUAAAUGACAUAAAAGAGCUGUUUUGGUGAAAUAGCAGUGCUGGGAGCGAGUGGAAGGUGGGAAUGGAGAUUGCACCGUAGUGAGGACAAGAUUGAUGGGAAGGGGUGUCUGAGAUGGGAGAGGGGAGACAAGUUUCUGUGCUGAUGAGAGUGACUGACUGUGCACACAGCCACAGCCACAGGCCACUUAGUGCAAAACACUAACACAUCUGUGUUGGGUAAAAUGAUAACUGCCCAAAAGUGUCCAUGUCCUGAUCCCCAGAACCUAUUACCACAUUAGAUUACAUGGCAAAAGGGGAAUUAAGGUUGCAGAUGGAAUUGAGGUUGUUCAUCAGCCAAACUUAAAGUAGGGAAAUUAGGCCACACAGUGGCUCACAUCUGUAAUCCCAGCACCUUGGGAGGCCGAGCGGGGUGGAUCACGAGGUCAAGAAAUCGAGACCAUCCUGGCCAACAUGGUGAAACCCUGUCUACUAAAAAUACAAAAAUUAGCUGGGCGUGGUGGCACGCGACUGUAGUCCCAGCUACUUGGGAGGCUGAGACAGAAGAAUCACUUGAACCCAGGAGGCGGAGGUUGCAGUGAGCCGAGAGCACGCCACUGCACUCCAGCCUGGGCGACAGAGCGAGACUCCGUCUCUAAGUAAAUAAAUAAAAUGUGGAAGAGAGAGGCAGAAGAGGUGAGAAUGAGAGAAAGGGAUGUGAUUACAGAAACAGGGUCAGAAAGAUGCUAUGUGGCUGGCUUUGAAGAUGGAGCCAAGAAUAGAUUUUGAAUGUGGGUAACUUCUAGAUGUUGGAAAAAGCAAGGAAAUUAUAUUCUCUCCUAGAGACUGCAGAAGGAACACAGCCUUGCCAACACCUUGAUUAUAGCCUGGUGAGACUCAGGCUGGAUUUUUUUUUUUUUUUUUUUUU
rnacentral:lncRNA from 10 species